ACUUUUUUUGGGGUUUCUUUGCUGUUUUUUAAGGUUCUUGCACGUUUUUUAGAUGAUUUUUUGAGGUACCUCGAGGUUCUUUUGGACUUCCUCAACUUUUUUUGGGAGUUUCUGAAGGGUUCCGCUUCACGUCGGUGCGGGGGGACAAGGUGGACAUCCUGUACAACAACAUCAAGCACGCCGUGUUCCAGCCCUGCGACGGCGAGAUGAUCAUCGUGCUGCACUUCCACCUCAAGAACGCGAUCAUGUUCGGCAAGAAGCGGCACACGGACGUGCAGUUCUACACCGAGGUGGGCGAGAUCACCACGGACUUGGGCAAACACCAGCACAUGCACGACCGCGACGACCUCUACGCCGAGCAGAUGGAGCGGGAGAUGCGGCACAAGCUGAAAACGGCCUUCAAGAACUUCAUCGAGAAGGUCGAGGCGCUGACCAAGGAGGAGCUCGAGUUCGAGGUGCCCUUCCGGGAGCUGGGGUGAGUUUGGGCCGAAAAACGGCGAAAACGGGAAAAAAGGGGAAAAACGGUGAAAAAAUGGUGAAAAAAUUGGGAAAAAAUGUGACAAAAUUGGGAAAAAAUGGGGAAAAACUAGGAAGAAAUGGGGGGGAAAAUGGGAGGGAAAAUGAGGGACAAAAGAGAAAAAAAUGGUGCAAAAAUGGGGGGAAAAAAGGGGAAAAUGGGAAAAACUGGGAUUUUGGGGCCGUUUUUGGGGAUUUUGGGGCCGUUCUGAGGGAUUUUGGAUCACUCCAGUUUUUGGGUUUGUUCCCAGGGAUUUUGGGGCCUUUCUUGGGGAUUUUGAGGCUGUUCCUGUAAAUUUUGGGGCCGUUCUUUGGGCUUUUGGCUCAUUACCAAUUUUGGGUUAAAUCCUGGCAAAUUUGGUGCCAUUUUUGGGGAUUUUGGGGCUUUUACUGGUGAUUUUGGGUCACUCUGGAUUUUGGGUU
rnacentral:lncRNA from 1 species